UCCUUGGACGCGAGCCCGGGCGGCCCAGGCGGCAUCUACGGCUUGCCGGACGACCCAUGCAGAGCUCGUCGCUGGUGAGUGCCACCUCCCAGCGGUGCGACGCCGACGGAGGCGAUCCCAGUGGCCUUUCAGGAAAGCAAGGUUUUUUGCGCAAUCGGGCACAAAACCUGACGCAUCUUUUGGGCAAUCCGCGUGGGAAGAGCCAAUUGCCGACAAUAAAUUUUGUCCUGCUCACUAUCGAAAGUACACCUGAUGAGCAUACCUUGUCACACUUUAAUGUAAGACACUUAAGUUGAGGCCUCAGACCCAUUUGUUGCUGACAGGAGGAUGAUCAGAUAUUAUUGGGAUUCUGGUUCGGUUUGGCACGC